rnacentral:rRNA from 1 species
CGCAGCUAACGCACUAAGUAGACCGCCUGGGGAGUACGGCCGCAAGGUUAAAACUCAAAUGAAUUGACGGGGGCCCGCACAAGCGGUGGAGCAUGUGGUUUAAUUCGACGCAACGCGAAGAACCUUACCUGGCCUUGACAUGCAGAGAACUUUCCAGAGAUGGAUUGGUGCCUUCGGGAACUCUGACACAGGUGCUGCAUGGCCGUCGUCAGCUCGUGUCGUGAGAUGUUGGGUCAAGUCCCGUAACGAGCGCAACCCCUAUCCCUAGUUGCUAGCAGUUCGGCUGAGAACUCUAGGGAGACUGCCGGUGACAAACCGGAGGAAGGUGGGGAUGACGUCAGGUCAUCAUGGCCCUUACGGCCAGGGCUACACACGUGCUACAAUGGUGCGUACAGAGGGCUGCAAACCCGCGAGGGGGAGCUAAUCUCACAAAACGCAUCGUAGUCCGGAUCGGAGUCUGCAACUCGACUCCGUGAAGUCGGAAUCGCUAGUAAUCGCGAAUCAGAAUGUCGCGGUGAAUACGUUCCCGGGCCUUGUACACACCGCCCGUCACACCAUGGGAGUGGAUUGCACCAGAAGUGGUUAGUCUAACCUUCGGGAGGACG